AGAAUCAACGCUGGCGGCGUGCCUAACACAUGCAAGUCGAACGAGAAAGUGGUAGCAAUACCAUGAGUAAAGUGGCGCACGGGUGAGUAACACGUGACUAACCUACCCUGGAGUGGGGGAUAACUGGGAGAAAUCCUAGCUAAUACCGCAUAAUACCUAACGGGUCAAAGGAGCAAUUCGCUUCAGGAGGGGUCGCGGCCGAUUAGUUAGUUGGCGGGGUAAUGGCCCACCAAGACGAUGAUCGGUA
rnacentral:rRNA from 1 species